rnacentral:rRNA from 1 species
CCUACGGGUGGCAGCAGUGGGGGAUAUUGCACAAUGGGGGGAACCCUGAUGCAGCGACGCCGCGUGGGUGAAGGAGUGUUUCGGUGUGUAAAGCUCUAUCGGCAGGGAAGAAGAUGACGGUACCUGACUAAGAAGCCCCGGCUAACUACGUGCCAGCAGCCGCGGUAAUACGUAGGGGGCAAGCGUUAUCCGGAUUUACUGGGUGUAAAGGGAGCGCAGACGGCUGUGCAAGUCUGGAGUGAAAGGCGGGGGCCCAACCCCGGGACUGCUCUGGAAACUGUAAGGCUGGAGUGCAGGAGGGGUAAGCGGAAUUCCUAGUGUAGCGGUGAAAUGCGUAGAUAUUAGGAGGAACACCAGUGGCGAAGGCGGCCUACUGGACUGCGACUGACGUUGAGGCUCGAAGGCGUGGGGAGCAAACAGGAUUAGAUACCCGAGUAGUC